UACAGAGGAGCCAAGCGUUGUCCGGAUUGACUGGGCGUAAAGCGCACGUAGGCGGGUCGUUAAGUCAGGGGUGAAAUCCUGGAGCUCAACUCCAGAACUGCCCUUGAUACUGGCGAUCUCGAGUUCGGGAGAGGUGAGUGGAACUGCGAGUGUAGAGGUGAAAUUCGUAGAUAUUAGGAAGAACACCAGUGGCGAAGGCGGCUCACUGGCCCGGUACUGACGCUGAGGCGCGAAAGCGUGGGGAGCAAACAGG
rnacentral:rRNA from 1 species